rnacentral:rRNA from 1 species
GGCCAGACUCCUACGGGAGGCAGCAGUGGGGAAUAUUGCACAAUGGGGGAAACCCUGAUGCAGCAACGCCGCGUGAGUGAAGAAGUAUUUCGGUAUGUAAAGCUCUAUCAGCAGGGAAGAAGAUGACGGUACCUGAGUAAGAAGCCCCGGCUAACUACGUGCCAGCAGCCGCGGUAAUACGUAGGGGGCAAGCGUUAUCCGGAUUUACUGGGUGUAAAGGGAGCGUAGACGGUGAGACAAGUCUGAAGUGAAAGCCCGGGGCUCAACCCCGGGACUGCUUUGGAAACUGCCUGACUGGAGUGCUGGAGAGGCAAGCGGAAUUCCUAGUGUAGCGGUGAAAUGCGUAGAUAUUAGGAAGAACACCAGUGGCGAAGGCGGCGUGCUGGACAGUAACUGACGUUGAGGCUCGAAAGCGUGGGGAGCAAACAGGAUUAGAUACCCCAGUAAAG